GACGAACGCUGGCGGCGUGCUUAACACAUGCAAGCCGAACGAUGAACCCGGAGCUUGCUCCGGCGGAUUAGUGGCGAACGGGUGAGUAACACGUGAGUAACCUGCCCUUGACUCUGGGAUAACUGCGGGAAACUGUAGCUAAUACCGGAUACGACCCUCGGCGGCAUCGCCAGGGGGUGGAAAGAAUUUCGGUCAAGGAUGGACUCGCGUCCUAUCAGCUAUGUGGUGAGGUAAAGGCUCACCAAGGCGACGACGGGUAGCAGGCCUGAGAGGGUGACCGGCCACACUGGGACUGAGACACGGCCCGGACUCCUACGGGAGGCAGCAGUGGGGAAUAUUGCACAAUGGGCGCAAGCCUGAUGCAGCAACGCCGCGUGAGGGAUGGCGGCCUUCGGGUUGUAAACCUCUUUUAGUAGGGAAGAAGCGAAAGGGACGGUACCUGCAGAAAAAGCACCGGCUAACUACGUGCCAGCCGCCGCCGUAA
rnacentral:rRNA from 1 species